ACAUAAAACUAUAAUAUGACAUAUUGUAAUGAAGUGGUCAACAACCGGUCGAUCGCGAUCAACUGUUCGAUCUCAAAGACAUUCCUAGUCAAUCACCAAACAUUUCUAUAGAAAAGACAACUAUAAAGUCUGUGCUAAAGGCUUGCGCUCCUUAUUUUUAUAUUUGUGUUGUUCUGUUGGUGGUAGAUACACUUCAUUCAGAAAGCCCUGCAAAGUGUUCCCAUUUUUAACCAUUUAAUUUGUCUGAAACUGCAGACUAUGCCUACCCGGCGGACUGGGAGUUCUCAUUUACAACUGUGACCUGGCCAAGAUAAAGCAAAAAAGUGCGACAAAAACAACAACACAGAGUUACACAUAAACAAACAUACAGUCAAUUGCACAAUAGAAACAUCGAUGUACAGCAUGUGCAUGUGGUAGAAGAGUAGGGAGGUAAAAGCAAUAAAUAGGCCAUAGAGGCGAAAUAAUUACAAUUUAGCGUUAACACUGGAGUGAUAAAUGUGCAGAUGAUGAUGUGCAAGUAGAGAUACUGGGUUGAAAAAUAGCAAGAAGAUAAAUAACAAUAUGGGGAUGAAGUGGUUGGGUGUGCCAUUUACAGAUGGGAUGUGUCCAGGAACAGUGAUCGGUAAGCUGCUCUGACAGCUGAUGAUUCAAGUUAGAGAGGGAUAUAUAAGUCUCUAGCUUCUGUGAUUUUUGCAAUUCGUUCCAGUCAUUGGCAGCAGAGAACUGGAAGGGAAGACGGCCAAAGGAAGUGUUGGCUUUGGGGAUGACCAUUGAAAUAUACCUGCUGGAGCGCGUGAUCCGGGUGGGUGUUGCUAUGGUGACCAGUGAGCUGUUCGAUGCUAAUGCAGAACGCCACAGGAUGUUUUUGUGCUGGUCAAGGGGCCUCGACUGGGAGACCCAUGGGGUGGCUUUUUGUUUUAAUUUACAAUCUUCCAAUCCUCUAUGUGUAAUUAUUGGUGGAGAGUCACGUCAUAUUUUUCAAAUUACUAUAGGCCUGCCGUAGGUGACAUGAGUCUCACAGGUGUUGAGUAAUGUGCUGUUAAAAGCGGUGAAGGUCUUAUUUAUUUAAAGAGCAUAUUGAAUUUAGAAGUAAUUGGAUUUGAAGCAAUAGCCUACAACUAUUUCAGCACCGUUUUGCGCUGCUCUGAACAAGCAUGGGGACUGGUCUUGAUAAAUCAAUGAGAUUUUUUAUUUUGACUGAAUCUCCGUUUGGGUGUUGGUUAAACUAAAAGUGUAGUGUAUACAUUUAUGCUCUUAGUGUAACCUUUUAUUUAACUAGGCAAGUCAGUUUAACUAGGCUAAUUCUUAUUUACAAUGACAGCCUACUCCAUCCUCCCCAUCUGCCAGGGAUUCUUUUGCUAAAGGGCCCUAAACAGUUUCCCAUGCAUUGUCAAUGGGGUUUGUAAACCAACACGGAUGUAAUAUAAUUCCGGCCACAUGCUGACUCAGUGGCGCUCCUCAAUGCAGGACGUGGGAGUGGGGAGGGACGCACACUCUGUAAACAGGAAUAGGUGCAACACCGAUCACUGAGCUGGCAAGCUUAAGGUAGCUAGUUAGUCACAUAAAUGUACGUUCAGCCUGUUAAUUAUUUCAGUCAGAUUUUACGAAGUCAGCAUGGCUUAACAUAGUUGCUUUCGUUUUUGACCUCGACAUUUUUGCUGGAUAGAUACUGUCAUAGCUAACAUGCUGGCGCUGCUAGCUAGCUAAUGCCGCUCAUAUCUGGAUCCAUCACUCUAUUUCCGGAGAGAGCAGCAUACUGGUGGUGUCUUACAGAGGAGUGCCCGUUUUGAUUGAAGAUGAGUGUGACGUAGACCCCAGAAGUCUGCAGACUACAGGGGCCCUCCAUUCCCAACCCUGAAGCCCCCUGUCCCCAGCAGGAAAGACCAGGAAAAUGUGUUGGCUUAACUUCCUAUUGAGGAAAUAUCUGCCAACCUGCUCGGUGGGUGACAGGUAACUGUCUUUCCACCAAGCUGUUCACUUCCUGGAGUGGCACGCUGGAACCUCCAGAGGCUUGUAGACCUGAAGCAGUGUGAUGUGGUCCAGCUCAACCACAGUCUUCACAGCUGUAGUCGUGUGCCCCUGCAUCUGCUACCCCGGCCACGACAGGUGAUACAGAUCUGCCACCCCCCAGUUCAGCUGCAGUCACAGCUGUCCUCUGCUGUGGUAUUUAAUUUACCAGCUGCACCAGUUCCUACUACACUGGCCGUGAAGGGAGAAACUUUUGAGGAUUCCUAGAUGGAUGCAGACAGACAGCCUCACCCAGAAGUGCAUACACUGGGUCUAUCAAGACUGACUGACAAGCAGAGAUGGGUGGCUGACGAGGAAAAAUAAAACAACAUGCCCUCACACACAUUAUCCACAUUGUAAAUACGUUGUAAUUACUUGUUUAUUUAAUCUUUGCUCCAUUUUAUUUUAGGAUUGGAGAUAUCUACUCCUACAUGUCCAUUCUCAAUAUCUACAUAAUUACUCUAAAUAUCUAUCAAAUCAGUGUAAUUGACAAGAUUGUAAAAGAAUGUGGCUUAAUGUAUACAGUUAGAGGAAAUUCUGUGUGCUUUUUUCUGAAUUGAAAAACAUGUCUCACACACACACACACAGUGUCUAAUUUAAAUAAAUUGCAAUAACUUGUUUAUUUUAUGUAUGCUCCAUUUUAUUUGAGGAAAAUAUCUGCAAUAAAGUACAUUCACAGUUAAA